UUCCUUUAUCUCUCAUUGCUUAUAUACC
rnacentral:piRNA from 1 species